ensembl:snRNA U6 U6 spliceosomal RNA
GUGCUCACUUUGGCAGCACAUUUACUAAAAUUGGAAUGGCCCAUGCACAAGGAUGACAUGCAAAUUUGUGAAACAUUACAUAUUUUU